rnacentral:rRNA from 1 species
ACGGAAGGCAGCAGUGGGGAAUAUUGGGCAAUGGGCGAAAGCCUGACCCAGCAACGCCGCGUGAAGGAAGAAGGCCUUCGGGUUGUAAACUUCUUUUAUCAGGGACGAAGAACGUGACGGUACCUGAUGAAUAAGCCACGGCUAACUACGUGCCAGCAGCCGCGGUAAUACGUAGGUGGCAAGCGUUAUCCGGAUUUAUUGGGUUUAAAGGGUGCGCAGGCGGCUUUUUAAGUCAGUGGUUAAAUCGUGACGCUCAACGUCAUCACGCCAUUGAUACUGGAGAGCUUGAUUGCGGUCGAGGUUUGCGGAAUUCGUUGUGUAGCGGUGAAAUGCAUAGAUAUGACGAAGAACACCGAUUGCGUAGGCAGCAGACCAGGCCGUAAAUGACGCUCAUGCACGAAAGUGCGGGGAUCGAACAGGAUUAGAUACCCUGGUA